AAUCAACGCUGGCGGCGUGCCUAACACAUGCAAGUCGAACGCGGUUACUUCUGCUUCGCAAGAAGUAGUUGUAACUGAGUGGCGAACGGGUGAGUAACGCGUGGGUGACCUACCUUCGAG
rnacentral:rRNA from 1 species